rnacentral:lncRNA from 1 species
GUUAGGAUCAUUCUUCUUAUACAACUUUAUAUCCUGUUUUGUUUUAUUCUGUUUGCUUAAAAUUUGUCAAAUGUAUUUUAUCAUAUCAUUGAAAAUCCUUCUGACAUGUAAUUUAUAACAGCUGCAUAAUAGUCUAUCUUUUGGAUGUUCCAGAAUUUAUUUAAACAGUCUCCUGAUGUUGUUUUCACUUUCAACCACACAUUUGUACAUAAAUCUUUGCCUACAUUUUUGCCUUUUCUUUUGGAUGAUUUUCUAAAUUGGGAGCUGUGGGUCAAAGGAUACGAACAUUUUUUACAAAUUUCUUCCCCUUUUUAAAGAUGUUUUCAUUCUCUUUUCUGAUUACAAUACAGGCUCAUUUCAAAAACAAAACAAAACAAAACCCCUGACAUUUAAAAAAGAAAACAAAAUUACCACUAUUUGUCUAGGCGCACACACACAAUUCCUUCUUUCCUUUCUAUCUUCUCUCUUUCUUUCCUUACAUUCCUUUCUUCCUUUCUUUCUAGGUGAAACAAUGGAAUCACAUUAUUAAAAAAUGUUUUCUAAUUUUCUUUUUUCACCUAGCAGUAUACUGUGGACACAAAGAAUAAAAUAUUCUUAAGGGUCUUGACAUAACAUCAAAACAAUGUCCAGAAAGGCCCUAUCAAUGUCCACACUCCUCAACAGGACCUCAUUCUACUCAUGCCAUCACCAAAUGGUGCCUCUCCUGUAUACAAUCUUUGCUGUUUAGUGGUCAUUUAGUUUACUUUGUAUUUAUCUGCACACUUAUGAAGCUAAUUUCUUUCUUCACAUUGGACCCUAAACUUCCAUCUCUGUAUUUACCUCUUCCCUUCUGUCCAUUUACUUGCUGUGGUCUUGUCUAUAUAUUGAUUUGUAUGAGCUCUUGAUAUAAUAAAGAGUUUGGACUGUGUUCAUUAUUGUGGCAAAUGUUAUUCAUUGUUUCUUGUCUGUCUCUUAAAUUGUAUUUAUUUUUGAGUUUUUAAAAAUUAUUCAAAUUUACUUUCUUUCCCUCUAUUACCUUUUCUUCUGUUUUCAAAUGUAAACAGUCCUUCCCCAUAUAGAGUACAGAUCAAUAUUCACCUUUUGUUUUCUCUUUAUGAUUUUUAUUUUAAUAUACCUAGGAUACAUCAUGGAAUACUAUAGAAGAUUAAGAUCUACACUGAAUUCUGCUUCCAAAUAUUCAAAUGUUCCUGUUUAAAAUGGUAUAGCUCUUUCAGCACCUAUCAAGUUCUUAUGCACACAAAGGUUUGUUUCUGAAUUGUACCUAUCCUUCUAGAGUAAACUUCAUGCAAGCAAUCCACUUUGCAGCAGGUUCUUCAUGCCUAUUAUAUACUACUCUUUGUUCAGCCUAAAGAAACUCAGGUGAGCAAAGGAGAACUGGACUUCCUGGCACGGAUUGAAAGCACAGACUAUGCUAAACUUGCCAAAAUUUCCCUAAAAUGCUGUAGAUAUGAAUAAACUAUAUACUAUGCCUAAAAAAAAAAGAUGAGGAAAAGCAGAAAUGUCAAACCCAUGAAAUGCAAUUUAUGUAGAAAGAAGUCUAUUUGAAAUCUGAUUGAAUUCUAUGUACAUGUAUGGUUUUAAAAGAAAGUACAGGAGUUCCCGUCGUGGCUCAGUGCUUAACAAAUCCGACUAGGAACCAAUGGGGUUGCAGGUUCAAUCCCUAGCCUUGCUCAGUGGGUUGAGGAUCCAGCAUUGCCAUGAGCUGUGGUGUGAGUCACGCACGCAGCUGGGAUCUGGCAUUGCUCUGGCUGUGGCGUGGGCCGGCAGCUGCAGCUCCAACUGGACCCAUAGCUUGGGAACUUCCAUAUGCCGCAGGUGCAGCCCUGGAAAAGACAAAAAAAAAAAAAUAAAUUAAUUUUUUUAAAAAAAGUACAAACGUUACAUGUACUGGCCAUGCAAACAGUGGGGAGAAUAUAUUUUAGGUUAAGUUUCUCCAGAAAAAGAGGCUGCUUGAUUUACUCUGGCUUCCAAAAUGCAAACUCAAAAGCACUAUAUGCUUAAAGAUUUUAAUUUCUCAAAAAUUAAGGCAGUAAGGUAAUGUUGGGUUUGUAUUCUCUGAGUCUAUCUCCCUUUUAAUGUAAUAUUUAAAAUGUUACCAUACCAUUGAUUGAAUCUUUAGAGGCAGAUCAGAGGGCUAAGAAGAAAUAAACAGCUUUAUUUCCAAGGUACUUCUAGGUAAGGAUGCCUUACUGUGCUGGGACAGGGCUAAAGGUGAGUAGGGGCAGGAUAAGAAUUUUUCCCAGGAAAGGUACAGUCACUGUCACAUCACAGAACUGCCUUGGCAGCUAAUUUGUGAUAAGAGAAAAUAAACAAUGCUUAAUCCUGGGUUACAGUAUCAUUUGGGGUUAGCACAUUUUGUAAUUCACAGUUCACUCUUGUUUAUUAUCAUAGUUAGCAGAUUUCUUCUGAAAUCACAAGAAGCCAUGAAAAGACAGUACUGCUAAUGCCUUACUAUGAUGCUGUUAAGAACUCUAACUCAUAGUUUGGAGAACCUAGCCAUGCCCUGUGCAGCAGUAUUAAUGCAUAGAGGGAAAAAUUGGGAUUCAAUUUCCUGCAUCAUGAAAUUCAAAACAAAAGCAAUAUUGCUGCCAAUCAAAUCAGCAAAGCUGUUCUGAUGCAAAGACCAGAUUUACUGAUUAAAAAAUUUGCAAUCAGAUCAGGUUUGGGAGAAUGCAAAGCUAUGUGGAGCAAGCAUUAUUAAACCUUUCAAAGUUCUAGUGGAGCCACUCGAGGGUUUGCACUGAGGCUUCUGGAGUCACAGUCACCUUUGAAGUGUUUAAAGCUGUGAGUCUCAGUUGCUUAUUAUUGGGACACAUUUGCCUUCAUUGAACAGUACAAAGCUCCUAAAAAUAUGCGUCUGAAUGACACUGCAGGUACGUUAUUACAAUAUUCAUCUGCAUUACUAACUCCUCAAAUUCACACUGGGCCUAUUAGUAAGCAUGUUUAUAAUAUAGAUAAAAGAUACUGGAAAAGAUAACCUAGCUUCAGACACAUACUUUGAGCAGUAUUCAUUUGAGAAAUCACCCCAGAGAAAAUGUGGUCAUUUCUGUUUAAAGCCUGGACCCCCAAGCAGCAGUGAUAGAAAACACCAAAUAAUUCUUUAUACAUUGUAAAAUGUGAAAAAUGUGAAGCUUUUCUUUUCUUUUUUUUUGACAAAGAGCAAAUUCUUCUCUUGUAACCACAACCUCUUCAACUAAGUUUUCUUUAAAGAUGAUCUGCUAUUGAAGGAAGCGUGUCAGUGUAAGCUUGCAAUAAUAAAAAUCUGCCUGCUAUCUAAUUUAAAUCUCCUUUGUUCCUGCAAGGUAAGUCCAUUCAGUGCUUCUCUGGGGCCAUUUCGUGUCCAGAGUGCUGUGGCAGUGCCCAGAGAUGAGAAUAUGGGCUGGCUUUAUCUUUAGAGCAUCUUUAAAAUAUAGAUUACCAGAGAGAAGCUGUCGACAAAGUGCUGCAAUGUGGUAUUUAGAGAGUGCCGUGCUUUGCAGACAGAAGCCUGCCACUACAUUAAUUCAUCUCGCACCAUUUUCUGUUCUCAUUAUAAUUUUAUCUUAGGAAUUAAUACAUUCUGCCAUUUUCUAUUCUGGUUACAAUCUAGAGAAAUCCGUGAGGCUGAAUACAUUUUGUACCACUUUGUUCUGCUUAUAAUGUUAAGAUGUUUUGAAGAAUGGAUUAGUUCAAUGCCACUUUCCCUACUUUAUCUUGAGAAUAAGAACUUAAACAGUCAGAAAACUUCAACUAGCAUUGAUGUGAAUGCCUUUCUAGUACCAAGAAUGUAUAAAAGAAGAGCUUGCUUUGUCUUUGGUUUUGCUUUUGUUUUUAAAGACAUUUUGGCCUUACAGAAAUUUUAAAGAGAACGUGAAAAAAAAAAUUGAAAAUGUAAGUGAGGGAGUUCCUGUUGUGGCUCAGCGGAAAUGAACCCAACUAUUAUCCAUAAGGAUGCCGGUUUCAAUCCCUGGCAUCACUCAGUGGGUUAAGGAUCCAGCAUUGCUGCAAGCUGCAGUUUAGGUCACAGACAGACAUGGCUAGGAUCUGGCGUGGCUGUGGCUGUGGUGUAGGCCAGCAGCUGCAGCUCCGAUUCAACCCCUAGCCUGCGAACGCCCACAUGCCACUCAUGCAGCCCUUAAAAAAAAAAAGAAGGAAAAAAAAGAAAGAAAAUAUAAGUACUAUUAGCUUCAUGACAAAGGCCUUUAGAAGGAAACAGAAGUUCUCAUGAAUCAUUCUUUCUCCAAAGACAACUGAAAGCCUCCAACAUAAUACAGUUUAAAAAAACCUGUAACAGUUAAAAAUACACAAAAAUUCUAACAAAGAUUCAGAUUUAGCCAAAAAUGUAAAAAUAUCCUCUUAAUAGUACAAGUACCGAAGUGGCGAGGCCAUUUUGAAGAAUCCUGUAAAAAUCAAGUUCACUUGGUCAUGAAAAUCAAAAUAGGAAGAGUGAUUUUUCAUGUGGGAUUUGGCCUUCGGGGCAGAGGAAGAAGCUCAAAAUCAUGGAAAACUUUAAGAUUUGGGGUAAUAGUACAAUUUUGCAGAAAGUCCAACUGUAGUGAUGACCAUAAACUGUGCUUCAAAUAUAAGAUGAAACUAAUGAUUUGCUGGCAAAGAUAUGCAUGAUAUCCUUAGGACGAAAAAUAUGAUCUUAAGCUAUUUUUCAUCUUUAACCUGCUCCCCUCA